rnacentral:rRNA from 1 species
CNUACGGGAGGCAGCANCGNGGAAUAGUGAGCAAUGGGGGCAANCNUGCAGCAGCCACCCGCGUGCCCGAAGACGGCCCUAUGGGUUGUAAACGGCUUUUGGACGAGAAGUACCCCGGAGUUUAGAAUUAGGCUGACGGUACCGUUNGAAUAAGCGCCGANUAACUCCGUGCCAGCAGCGGUAAUAAUAAGGAGGCAGCAAGCGUUGUCAGGAAUCAUUGGNAAAAAAGGGUGNGUAGGAGGAGGUAAGUAGGAGAAGAAAUCGGGCUGAUCAACGGUAAGCCUGCCUUAGAUAGUGGUUUUGANGAGUUAGGAAGAGGUCAGAAGAAUUNGUGGUGUAGCGAAGAAAUGCAUAGAGAUCAAGAAGAACACCGGUGGAGAAGGCUGCUGGGUGGUCCGAUACUGACGAUGAGGCAAGAGAGGGUGGGGAGCGAACAGGAUUAGAUNCCCUGGUANUCCACNCCAUAAACGAUGUAUAGUAGGUGGGGCCCUUCCGGGUCAGUGNCGCAGUUAACGCANUAAG